AAAUACUUAAAACAUUUGAGUAUCUCAUUGGAGGUUUUAUUCUUUAUGGAUGCCACACAUUCCUAUUCCCUACUGUUUAGCUGUUAGGAGAAGUUAUGACAAUUUGUGCAACAACAGAAAGAUUCACUUACCUUCCAAGUUUAAGUUUUACCUUCGAUGUUCAUGUUU